CCUACGGGAGGCAGCAGUGGGGAAUCUUGCGCAAUGGGCGAAAGCCUGACGCAGCAACGCCGCGUGGAGGAAGAAGGCCUUCGGGUUGUAAACUCCUGUCAGGGGGAAAGAAGGUACCUGGGUGAAUAGCCCAAGGGCUGACGGUACCCCCAAAGGAAGCCACGGCUAACUACGUGCCAGCAGCCGCGGUAAUACGUAGGUGGCAAGCGUUGUCCGGAAUCAUUGGGCGUAAAGCGCGCGUAGGCGGCUUGUCAGGUCCGAUGUGAAAGCCCGGGGCUCAACCCCGGACGGGCAUCGGAAACCAACUCGCUAGAGUCUGGGAGAGGGGAGUGGAAUUCCUGGUGUAGCGGUGAAAUGCGCAGAUAUCAGGAGGAACACCGAUUGCGAAGGCGGCUCCCUGGAACAGUACUGACGCUGAGGCGCGAAAGCUAGGGGAGCAAACA
rnacentral:rRNA from 1 species